AAGUCGUAACAAGGUUUCCGUAGGUGAACCUGCGGAAGGAUCAUUAACGAGAGAGGGGCCUCGUGCCUCGGGGGCUUCGGCCCCGCCUCUUCACCCCGUGCGUACCUACUUUGUUGCUUUGGCGGGCCUCGGGUUUUCCCGACGCCGGCCCGGGGGCUACCCCGGGCUCUGCGCGCGCCCGCCGCAGGCCAUUCCGAAACUCUGUUCAUCAGUGUCGUCCGAGUACCAAUUCAAUAACUAAAACUUUCAACAACGGAUCUCUUGGUUCUG
rnacentral:misc_RNA from 1 species